GGGGACUGCUCCAGAUGUUAUCUUUUUACACUGGUUUUUCUUUUUUUCUUUUUUCUUUUUUUUGUACUUGUGAAAAAGACAAGGCAAGUAUCUUCGCAUCAAAAGCAAACCAAAAGCUCCCGCUGGUAAAAACCAGUCGUGUAAAUCCUCUGACCAGACCACUCCGUUUCCUUUGCUUAAGCUCAUUUCCUGACAGCCAGCCCUUUGCCCUCGGAGCAGUUUACCCAAGACUGUGUAUCCUGCCCCUUGCUUAUUGACACAUCUUUGGAAGGAGGCCAGAAGAGAGGUGUGGUCCAGCAGAUGGAGAGAAGUAUUGGCAGGAUGCAGCUUUUCACCACAGAGCUCUAAUUGCACAUCUCCUUCCAGGCCACGCCCCCUCGCCAGUCACGAGGCUUCAGCUAAUCAGGGCAGCAGGGGCAAAUCUCCACCAAAUUGGAUUCACCUGUAUCCUGGUACACCUGCGCAGCACUCAAGAUGUUUGUGUCUUAUAUGAGGAAGUCAGGUGCAAGUCAUAUAACUUAGCUGCAGUCCCUGGCGCCUUUGGGACUGCCGCCACACCCGCUCCCCACACAGAUCCAAGGCUUUGAGUUGGCCCACCUCAACAAGUACCCCAUCUAUGAACUCUUGGAGCUCAUGAAGGGGCUGGUCCUGCAAACUCAAAGCUGUAGGAUCUCUAUGGCCCAGGGCAAAAACAGGACAUCGGAGAGGUGUCCCAGUGAGGAUCUGGUAUUGAUAGGGUGGCAGAAGCCAGAAACCAGACCAAAGAUUCAUUGUGACGAAUAUCUGCAAGUAAAGGUGCGUGGACAAAAGGGUAUACCGUGGGACACACUGUGACACACUACUGCUUCCCCUGUGUUUGUUUCGUUUUAAUUCUUUUAAAAACUUUUUUCUAUUUUCUUUUUUUUGGGGGGGGGGGAGUUUGCAUGGGCAGAGGGUGCAUAGGAAGGGAAGGAUGGGGAGAUGAGUGGGAUUGGGGUUCAUGAUGUGAAAUUCACAAAGAACCAAUAAAAAAACUUUAAAUAAAGAAACGGUUCCUUUGUUUUGUGUGCUAGUUUGGUUCUGGGAAGGCCUUCUUGGUCGGUAAGUAACUGACAUUUUGUUGCAAAUCACAAUCAAGAAAUGAUUCUAGGGAGAGGUGCCCUCCCCUGCUUCACCCCUCACUGGCUGCAGCACUUGGGAGAUGGGUCCUGCACCUUUUUGUUGUG